CUCGUAGGCGGUCUGUCGCGUCUGCCGUGAAAACCCGAGGCUUAACCUCGUGGCUUGCGGUGGAUACGGGCAGACUAGAGGUAGGUAGGGGAGAAUGGAAUUCCCGGUGUAGCGGUGAAAUGCGCAGAUAUCGGGAGGAACACCGGUGGCGAAGGCGGUUCUCUGGGCCUUACCUGACGCUGAGGAGCGAAAGCGUGGGGAGCGAACA
rnacentral:rRNA from 1 species